UUCUUCUGUUGUAUGAAUAGUUAUAUGAACUGGGUUGGAACUGGGACAAUUUAGAACUUCUAGCACAGGGCAGAAACUUCAUGUUAUGAUAAAUGGCAGUGUUUCUGCCAGUUUAGUCAUGGUGCAUUUGAUUGAGAAAUUAGCUGCUGGUGAUACUGGAAGUUUAUCUGUAUCAAUACUUCAGAAGAUGAGCACCAUGUCUAAAAAGGUAUAUUGAGAUGAUUUCUUUGGAGCAAUUCUUGACAACAUUUGUAGUUGAGGCCUUUAGAAUGGAAGAAUGUAUUUCACUAAUUUUUGUAUACAUUUCUUGUUUUGUAUUUAGUGAUAAAGGAAUCUAAAUUUGGCAUAAAUUAUGUUGUAAUAUGAUUUCUUAAGCCUAGACUAGUAGACUAAAUAUUGUAAUUACAUUUGAGUAAUUAAUAAAAAUCUAUUUAUGUUA